rnacentral:misc_RNA from 1 species
GGGGGAGAGAAGGGGAAAGAUGGGGGUUGGGGACUUACUGUGCUUAUAAAUGAUUGAAGAGGAAAUAGAGCCUUAUAAAUAAUAUGUGAUAUGGUCUAAUUGUGAGAUAAAAUAUUGGUUGGCCAUGUAAACUGAUCAGGACAGUGGCUUGGAAAUUGAGCCAAGCCAAAUUCGGCUGGCUAGGAUUUCUGGAGAAAUUUUAUUGCACCCAAGAAAAUGCCAUAAAUUGAUUAUGGUGAAAAUAUUUUUUGUUCCCCUUCAUAAUCUCUUGUAUUGUUUGAGAUCAACAUCAGUUUAUUUUGUGUUGCUUAUGGCCAUGCAGGCAAUACGGGUGAAAGUUACAA